rnacentral:tRNA from 4 species
GGCGCUGUGGCGAAGUAGCUAACGCAAGAGUCUGCAAAACUCCCAUUCGUGGGUGCAAAUCCCACCAGCGCCU